rnacentral:rRNA from 1 species
UACGUAGGGUGCGAGCGUUAAUCGGAAUUACUGGGCGUAAAGCGCGCGUAGGCGGCUUUGUAAGUUAGAGGUGAAAGCCCGGAGCUCAACUCCGGAACUGCCUUUAAGACUGCAUCGCUAGAAUUGUGGAGAGGUGAGUGGAAUUCCGAGUGUAGAGGUGAAAUUCGUAGAUAUUCGGAAGAACACCAGUGGCGAAGGCGACUCACUGGACACAUAUUGACGCUGAGGCGCGAAAGCCAGGGGAGCGAACGGG